rnacentral:lncRNA from 1 species
UGGCUGCCUCCGGAAAACUCAGCACUUGCCGUCUCCCUCCGUUGCCCACGAUUCGAGAAAUCAUUAAGUUGUUAAGACUGCAAGCAGCGAAGCAGCUAUCACAGAAUUUCCUCCUGGACUUGAGGCUGACAGGUGGAUGGCUUAGCAGUGCUCCCCGGAUGUCUCCCCAGUGUCCGUGGGGGCGUGGGCCGGGGGGUCUUGCACGUCCCCGCGGGCGGGUGUCCAGGCACUGGCGUGCGACGGGCUUUUGGUCAGGUCCUUCGACCUCUUUGUAUCAGAACUCCGGUCCCACCGCCCAGGAGACACGUGAAAUAAGAUUGUAAGGAAAGCUGGCAAUCUGACAAAUGCUUAUGUUUACGAAGUGGGCCCUGGGCCAGGGGGAAUCACAAGAUCUAUUCUUAAUGCCGACGUCGCUGAACUUCUGGUGGUUGAAAAGGACACUCGAUUUAUUCCUGGAUUACAGGUGAGAUGCUU